rnacentral:rRNA from 1 species
GCCUCCCUCCCGCCGCCACUACACGACUCCGUACGGGAGGCGAGCAGUGAGGAAUUUCCGCAAUGGGCGCAAGCCUGACGGAGCGACGCCGCGUGUGGAAGAAGGCCUUCGGGUCGUAAACCACUGUCGAAGGGAAGAUAAUGACGGUACCCUUGGAGGAAGCCCGGCUAACUACGUGCCAGCAGCCGCGGUAAUUC